AACGCACAUUGCGCCCUUUGGUAUUCCUUAGGGCAUGCCUGUUCGAGCGUCAUCAAACCCCUCAAGCGCAGCUUGUUGUUGGGCGCUUGUCCCGCCUCCGGGCGCCGGACUCGCCUUGAAUCCAUUGGCGGCCCCCGCAUUGGGCUAUCGAGCGCAGCAGAUUCGCGCCUCGGGCACAGAGCGGGCUGGUAUCCACGAAGCGAACCCCCCCAGUUUUGACCUCGGAUCAGGUAGGGAUACCCGCUGAACUUAA
rnacentral:misc_RNA from 1 species